rnacentral:lncRNA from 1 species
GUUCUGUUUUUCCCAGAUUCUGCCACGUUUUGCAUUUUCAUCGUUUUGCAAAUCUCAAGCUUGCUUUUUCUAUGCAAAAACCUUUUGGAAAUCUUGAGAAACAGUAGAUCUUCCUGAAAAUGUUUAUUUCCAGUAGAGAAUAAAUUAUUUUACUAUGGACACUAACCACUCUAAUCAGCUUAUGAUGAGUUUCGUGUGAAGGGAGUUUUCAAGUAUGCGAUGGAAGAUGAUGAAAGAAGAUCCAGGAGUGUCAAGCGCUCAAGCUAGGGGAUGCCCCCAUGCACCCCCAAGAAAUAUUCAAGGAGACUCAAGCGUCUAACCUUGGGGAUGCCCCCGUGCAUCCCCUUCUCC